rnacentral:lncRNA from 1 species
GGUAACUACAUGCAUGUAAUGAUGAGAAUAUUUAUAUGUAUUUAUGAUUAUCACAAAAAAACAAAGAUUCUACCAUUCAAGAGGAACAUUUAUUUUAUUUUUUUAUUUGAGAAAAGUAUAAUUUUAUUUAUUUAUUUAUUUGUGCAAAUUUAUGGGGUACUUGAGAAAAUGUGUUACAUGUAUAUAAUGUGUAGUGAUCCAAUCAGGAUACUAAGGGUGUCCAUCACCUGAGUGUAUUACAUUUUUGUUAAGUAUAAUCAUCCUACUCCAGGAGAACAUUUUAAAAACUGUUCUGUAGAGAUACUACUCAAAUUAAGUUCUCAGUCCUGAAACAUCAGAUCAGCUAGGAAUCUGACAAAAAUGCAAGUUCUCAGAUGACAGAUGAGACCACUUCAAUCAGAAUUUCUGGAGUGGAGCCCACACAUUUGUAUUUUUGCAACCUUUCCAAUGAUACUUAUGUACAUGCUCAAGCUUGAAAACCACUUUCCUAGGACAUUAGUUCCUCGACAAGAUUUGUGAGUAACCUUGUUUCAUGAAAAAGUGUUUAGGAGAUACUGAUUCAAUAAAAACUAAUCAGGCUUUUAUUGUUUGCAGGGCUUUCAAAACUUGCAAUAGGCCACUGUGCAUUGUUAAUUUCUAAGAGGAAGAUGCUUAUGUCCUCAAUGAAUAUCUUCCCACCAUGAAGUACUCUUCUUCCCCCACUUUUUAAAACAAUUACUAACACCUGGCAGAAGUAGGCAGACAGCUUACAGCUUAGAAAAAGUUGGCCUAAGAUAAUGGCUAAUUUUCAUACAUUAUUUAUUUGUCAUCAUGCUUAUCUUUCUCUCUCUAAAUUGUAUAUUUCAUCUCUGUGAUCACAGAUUGAGCCUCAUAUUUCAUAUCUGCCCCUGGCCUAAUGGUUGUUUACAGAAUGAGCUCAAUGAAUAUUGUUAAAUAACACUAACAAAGUUGACCUUAGAAUUGGAGUGCCUGGGUUAGAACCCUGCUGGUACCACCUGCUUACUGCAUGCUUCUGAUGUGAGUUCAGGAGAAGACACUGGCAAGGACAGCAAAGAACAGGAGAACACUCUAGCUUCCCUGAUAGCAUUCAAGGUGCUGUCCAAAGCUCUUGAGUUUCUGCUUUCAAGUGACCCUCAGAAAUUCCUCCAUUCACUGCAGAGGUUCUGUUUCUCCUUGCUUUGUUCUGACUUUACGGCAGAACUAAGCUAAUGAGUUAGUUACUAUGGGUUAUCACUUGGAUUUGAAGAACCAUCAUUUCUAGGCAUUGCUGCUCAGAGUGACCUUGCCAUCGUAUCCCCUUUUGGAGACACAAGCCAGGAAGGAAGCUCUUCAGUGCAGCUGUGAAUAGAGAAAUGCUGGCUGAGGUUUUGGAGACACUGGGUGAUCAUUCCCAGUGAAAUUUUUAGAUCCCUGGGGACAUGAGCUGCUUUGUCUUUUCCAAGGCUGAAAAAGUUUUGGAAGCCCUCCUAAGCAGGUGCCAGACCCUUUUUUGGCCAGAGACAGGAUCUUACGCUGUUGCCCAGGCUGGAGUGCAAUAGUGUCAUCAUGGCUCACUGUAGCCUGGAACUGCUGGGCUCAAGGGAUCCUCCCAGCUCAGCCUCCCAAGUAGCUAGGAGUAAAGUCUGGAGAACACUUUUUCUUUUGAGCUGUUUACAACCUUUAGCAAUUGAGUAGAGUGUACUCUUGUCAAUAGAAUUUGAAGCACAUUUCUCUCUCUGCCUGAUUUCUGUAGAAUUUGUAAACUAUUUGUGAAUAUUCUUAAUUUAUGGCAAUAUGGUUGCUUACAUAAGUUCAAUAAUAAUCUGUUUUCUUUUACAAUGAGACACAGUUGGAGGAACUGGUUAUUUUCCCAGGGCUUUGACUGAAAUGGCCUUGUGAAUGGUUCCAGGAAAGCCAAUUUUGGAGACCCUAUGUGGAUGAUGAUGCUUGCUGUACUUUCUGUGGGUAAUCGGGCCAAGUAUAUGGGACUGAAGCUAAUUUUGCAGGUGAGAAAAUGGAGGUCCAGAGAGAAAAGUGACUCACCCAAGCUGAAAACAGUUGCAGGAAGAAAAGCCAGGACAGAACUGGGCUGUUAGAAACCUUGGAGUACACUAAAGAUGAGGAACUGAGUCACCGCAAUGCCAAAUGUAACACGCUGUGGGUCAAAAUUUGGAUGGUUGCGUUGGAAAUUAUUCUGAAGCCACAGACAGGGCUAAAAGAGUCUAGAAUGUCCUACUAGCUGUUGGAACCUGCUGGAGUUCUAAAGGCAUGCGAUGUCCUGAAUGUGCUUGACCAAUGGACACAGCAGGUAUUUGAAGAGUUUUGAUGCUUCCUUUCUGUUUUCAGUGCUAUUUUUUUGCUUUAUUUCUUUUAAAAAACUUUCCCCACAGAGGCUAUUUAUUACACAGCAGCAGCCAGCAUGCACCAAGCAGAACUGCUUUUCAUAAUAAACCUAUUUAUCUUCUGGCAUGUCAGAAAUUUCUCAAAUUGAUACUUAUAAUAAAUAUGAUUAAUAACACAUUGUA